AAAUUGAAGAGUUUGAUCAUGGCUCAGAUUGAACGUUGGCGGCAGGCCUAAAACAUGCAAGUCGAACGGUAACAGCAGGAGCUUGCUCCUGGCUGACGAGUGGCGGACGGGUGAGUAAUACGCAGGAAUCUACCCAGUAGUGGGGGACAACCCGGGGAAACCCGGGCUAAUUACCGCCAUACGCCUCCUUUUUCGGGAGAUUAAGGAGGAAAGCGGGGGAUCUUCGGACCUCGCGCUAUCGGAGGAGCCUGCGUCGGAUUAGCUAGUUGGUGGGGUAAAGGCCUACCAAGGCGACGAUCCGUAGCUGGUCUGAGAGGACGACCAGCCACACUGGAACUGAGACACGGUCCAGACUUCUACGGAAGGCAGCAGUUAGGAAUCUUGGGCAAUGGGCGAAAGCCUGACCCAGCCAUGCCGCGUGUGUGAAGAAGGCCUUCGGGUUGUAAAGCACUUUCAGUGGCGAAGAAAAGUUUGGGUUGAAUAACCCCGAGUUUUGACGUUAUCCACAGAAGAAGCACCGGCUAACUCCGUGCCAGCAG
rnacentral:rRNA from 1 species